rfam:Schistosoma curassoni strain Dakar, Senegal genome assembly, scaffold: SCTD_contig0001108
AUCAGCCCGAUGAAUCCCAAAUAGGACGAAACGUGCGUCCUGGAU